CAGGUGACAAAUGAAAAGCUGGGGCAGUUGGAGGCUACGCAGAUUGCCACAAACAACAAGCUCACAAGUUUAGAGGAAUCCGUUGCUAGUGUGGACAAAAGCCUUGCUGCUCUCCUAAGGUGAUUUGAUGCUUUCCACACCGAAGAUAAAGAGAAGCAUAAAGAAGAAAAGGAGGGAGAUCGAGAGCACGGUAGUCAUGAAGAUGACUACACUGGUGAUACUGAACAU
rnacentral:lncRNA from 1 species